UGCCACAGCCAUAUCACCCUGCAGCCCAAGACUGGUUACUCACUGAAGCUAAGCAGGGCUGAGCCUGGUCAGUACCUGGAUGGGAGACCACAUAGGACUAGGUUGCUGUUGGAA
rnacentral:rRNA from 1 species